rnacentral:lncRNA from 1 species
UUAAUUUUUUUUUUAUAAAUCUUGCUGAGCACCCAUGUUGCAUCAGACAUAACUGUUAUCUAACCAACUUUUCUGCUGCAGGUUCACAUUGAGAAUACAGAGCAAUUGCAACAGCAAGUUAGGUUGAGCAGCAGUUGGACAGAUAAUGGUAAAGCCUGGCCCAACAUGAUUGCUCAGCCAAAUUAAAAAAUACACUUUUUUUAAAAUUAUUUUUCUCAAACUAAUAAAUAUACGUAAUUAAAAAAAAAAAAUCACUUAAAAUAUUUUAAAAAGUGAAAAUUUGAUGGCAGUUGUCCUAUAAGUGAUUUGAAGUGGUCAUAAUGCAUAGAGUCUGUAGGUGCAGAGUUUUGCUAUGAUAAACAGCACUUCUCAGAGUUUAACCUCUUUUAUUUCUAUUGGCAGCGUUAGGGCGUUCUGUAACAGUGGGCAGUAGUGGUUAUGAUAAUCUCUGCAGAUAUGCCAUUCGCAGCUCUCGGAGUUGGCAGAGGCUACUCUUUGGCACAAUUAAGUAUACAAAGUUGCCACAAUGCUUAAACCAAACCAAUCAAUGUAAACAAAGAAUAAAAACAAAUACAAAACAACACCACCGCCAGGAAGGGUAGUGUCAUUAUAAGAGUAAUCUACGAGGUGGGAAGAGCAGUAUUGUUAAAUAUAACUCUCCGAGGAGGGUUUCAGGGCCUCUUGAUAAAGAUCUGACGAGUUAGUCCCCUUCAGUGCAAAAUAAAGACAAUGACUUUUACAUUAUAGUCCUAAAUUGGGUGCAGGAUAUCUUAAAGAACAUCAACACAUUCCAUAAUAUCUAUCCUAUCACUCCAUGACUUCAUUAUCACAAUGUGGGACAUCACGUAAUAUAUCACACAACAUCUCUUAUAACUCCAAUAUACAAUAACCUCAUCACAUAUUGGUACAUUACACAGCAUCUGCUCUAUAAUUAGACGGAUGUUUCAUCACACUUAAGAUUAGAACUUAAUGAAUAUACAAUGAUGACGCAAUGCUAUCACAUUGCAUACUAUACAACAUCGAUUCUUUAACCAGAAAAAAAAUGUAUUUUUAAAUCCCACAAGAUUAUAUCUUCUCUCGGAUAAAAGAAUAGAUUUUUUUAUUAUUAUUUUUUUUUUUUUAAAUAAUCAAAGUACUAAAAGUUAUUGCAAUGUAAAAUAACAGGAGAGGUUAAAAACCACAAAUGUACUUACACCUUCCCUUUAAAAUUCAACAAAAAAAGCUUACGGAUACAAUUGCAAAAGUUCACUAAGAAAAAUAAACACUGUAGCAAUUGUCUAUCAGUCUUUCAAAGCAAUCCUAGAUGGCAAUAGUGUCUAGUCAAUCCAGCUUCACAGAUUGAUCCACAAACCGUGCUUGGAAAAUACAUAUAUCCAUAUGAUGUGGAUGUUAACAAAUAUACAUAAAAGGACCCAUACCACUUCAGCUAAUUGUCCCUGUCUCCCUUAGUUGCAAUUUUAGAGAAACUGUAAUGUUUACAUUGCAGUGUUAGACUGAUUGGUUGUCUAAAUAGAUUAUUUUUUAACCUCCUCUUCAUACUAGAAAGAAUUAUGUAUGAGCAUGAAAUAUUGUUUAUAAUAAAUUCUAUUUUCACUGUCAAUUUACGAUCCUGCUCUGAAAUCUAUCUAGUCAGUUCUGAGCCAUUUUCAUGUUCAUUAAUAAUAUAUAAAGUCACAUCACAAGUAACCAAAAAUAACUCACUACUCCGUUGUAAUUCCUCAACCUCUCUGAAUAAAUCCAUACUCUAAGGUAGGAGUGUGUGCACAGAAACUAAGGUUGCACAAGACAUCUUGACAGAUUUACUAUCAAUAGUCAAUUCCUGGUAUAAUUAUGUUUUUAAAGUGAGCCUGUUGGUUGGAUCUUUUAUGCAUUGUAUUAAAAAAAUGGUAAAACAGGAUUUGUUUUUUUCGGUGGGGAGGGUGUAAAAUCACUCAUUGUUGUGUAAAAAUCCCCAGUUACUUCUGGGACAUUGUUGCCAUCUAGUGCUGCUAAAAGAGACUGAUACAUCUUUGCUACAAUAUUUAUUGUUAUUGGUUAAAGGAAUAUUCCAAGCUCCAUAACGUCACCCAAAUGAAGUUGUGGUACAAGGUGGUCCCUGGGUUACAUCAAGAACCAUUAACUGUUUAACCCCAAAGUCUUGAAUCUGUCGCCCAGUAGUUAUUCCUACAAACACCCAGUGCAGUUUGAGACUUGAGGAAGCCUGAGACUGGGGCGCUGCUGAGAGCUUUGGCAGACACUCUCAUCCGUUGAUUAACGGCAUUCUCAAAAAUGAAGUGUGAAAACUCUGUAUGUAUUUUACGCCUCGAACUGCAGCAGAUGUUCAUGGCAAGAGCUAACCGGUGCCAGAUUCAAGACUUUGGGGUUAAGCUGUUCAUUGGAUUCAAUGCUUCUUGAGAAGCAUUAGGUUGGAUAAGUGACAUUCAAACCUCGUGCCCAGGAGCAUUGAAUUUGACAACAAACUCCGUGGGUGACAGAACCAAGUGAGUCUAUGACUUGGAAAAAGGGUAAUAGGGGAGCUGGUAUCUAAAUAGACUAGGCAUGCGUGUAUUACUAAAGCUAUAAUGCUCCUUUAAGUUCUUGUGAUCAUUUUUGGAAUUUUUUUUUUUUUAUUGUAUUUGAUUGAGAGGAUUUAAGCCUAUUUUUAACAAAGGCACUUGUUUUAAUCUAUUCUUUAACCUGUGUACAAAUCCACAUCAUCAUCAUCAUCAUCGCACUGAAAGAUAUAGAAUAAUACAUUUCUCCAACAUUUAUACUGCAACUCAACAGAAAAUGUUCAUCAUGCACAUAAAACAGAACAAACUAUACAGAAAACACAUCAGAGGCUAUAAAAUCUUGUAAAACUAUUAUUAAGGCUAUGGUGUAACCAAGUUCGCAAGAUCAUAGUCGCAGUCCCUGGAUCAGCAUCUCGACAGAGCUAUCCGGCCCAUGGUGACCAGGGUACUCUGAAUCUAAAGGGUGUCUGGGUUUUGAACUAAACAAGAGUGACCCAAACAAGUCCACCAAGUCAGUGGGAACGAAUGUAAAGCUAUGUUUUUUAAAGAUAUACAUAUGAAAGGGCCAAAGGAGUAAGAUAGUCCAUUAAGCAGGGACUGUUUGUCACAGGCAUAGGGAAGAGUCACAAAUGUAAAUUAUUGGGGGCAGAUGUGACGAGAGGGGUGUCCGAAUGUGCCAAUGACUAUCAUUCACCGACCUCAAAUCUUUUACCAAUAUUAAUUUGUUUUCAUUAUAAAAGCAGGGAUUUUACACAUGGAGAGUGUGUGUACCAAAAGGUUUGCUUCUAUAAAUUUAAUAAACAAGUCAGUUGUAAUUAUUACAAUAGUCAUGAAUAUCUUUAGAGGAUGUAAUGUGAAUUGCUGGCACAAAGCAGGCUUGUGAGAAUGUUGCUAUUUUUUUUAUGUGUUGUGUAUUGUUCAUAUUUGUAUACAU